rnacentral:rRNA from 1 species
UACAGAGGGUGCGAGCGUUAAUCGGAAUUACUGGGCGUAAAGCGCACGUAGUCGGCUUUGCAAGUCGGGUGUGAAAUCCCCGGGCUCAACCUGGGAACUGCAUCCGAGACUGCAUUGCUAGAGUAUGGGAGAGGGAAGCGGAAUUUCUGGUGUAGCAGUGAAAUGCGUAGAUAUCAGAAGGAACAUCAGUGGCGAAGGCGGCUUCCUGGCCCAAUACUGACACUCAGGUGCGACAGCGUGGGGAGCAAACGGG